AUUGAACGCUGGCGGAAUGCUUUACACAUGCAAGUCGAACGGCAGCACGGGGCAACCUGGUGGCGAGUGGCGAACGGGUGAGUAAUACAUCGGAACGUGCCCAAUCGUGGGGGAUAACGUAGCGAAAGUUACGCUAAUACCGCAUACGAUCUACGGAUGAAAGCGGGGGAUCGCAAGACCUCGCGCGAAUGGAGCGGCCGAUGUCAGAUUAGGUAGUUGGUGGGGUAAAGGCUCACCAAGCCAACGAUCUGUAGCUGGUCUGAGAGGACGACCAGCCACACUGGAACUGAGACACGGUCCAGACUCCUACGGGAGGCAGCAGUGGGGAAUUUUGGACAAUGGGCGCAAGCCUGAUCCAGCCAUUCCGCGUGCAGGAUGAAGGCCUUCGGUUGUAACUGCUUUGUACGGUACGAACGGACGAGCUCUAAUACAGUUUGCUAAUGACGGUACCGUAAGAAUAAGACACCGGCUAACUACGUGCCAGCAGCCGCGGUAA
rnacentral:rRNA from 1 species